UCGACCUUAGUUGCCAGCAUUCAGUUGGGCACUCUAAGGUGACUGCCGGCUAAAAAGUCGGAGGAAGGUGGGGAUGACGUCAAAUCAUCAUGCCCCUUAUGACCUGGGCUACACACGUGCUACAAUGGGCGGUACAAAGGGUCGCGAACCCGCGAGGGGGAGCCAAUCCCAAAAAGCCGCUCUCAGUUCGGAUUGCAGGCUGCAACUCGCCUGCAUGAAGCCGGAAUCGCUAGUAAUCGCGGAUCAGCAUGCCGCGGUGAAUACGUUCCCGGGCCUU
rnacentral:rRNA from 1 species